AGAGUUUGAUCCUGGCUCAGAAUCAACGCUGGCGGCGUGCCUCAGACAUGCAAGUCGAACGAUUAAACUCGCCUUCGGGUGAGAUAUAAAGUGGCGCACGGGUGAGUAACACGUAGGUAAUGUGCCUUUGGGUGGGGAAUAACCUAGGGAAACUUAAGCUAAUACCGCAUAAUGCAGCGGCUCCUUCGGGAGACAGUUGUUAAAGAUUUAUCGCCUAAAGAGCAGCCUGCGGCAGAUUAGCUAGUUGGUAAGGUAACGGCUUACCAAGGCUACGAUCUGUAUCCGACCUGAGAGGGUGGUCGGACACACUGACACUGAAUAACGGGUCAGACUCCUACGGGAGGCAGCAGUCGGGAAUUUUGGGCAAUGGGCGAAAGCCUGACCCAGCAACGCCGCGUGAAGGAUGAAGUCUUUCGGGAUGUAAACUUCGUAAGAAUAGGAAGAAUAAAUGACGGUACUAUUUGUAAGGUCCGGCUAACUACGUGCCAGCAGCCGCGGUAAUACGUAGGGACCAAGCGUUGUUCGGAUUUACUGGGCGUAAAGGGCGCGUAGGCGGCGUGUCAAGUCAAUUGCGAAAUCUCCGGGCUUAACUCGGAACGGUCAAUUGAUACUGAUGUGCUAGAGUGCAGAAGGGGCAAUCGGAAUUCUUGGUGUAGCGGUGAAAUGCGUAGAUAUCAAGAGGAACACCUGAGGUGAAGACGGGUUGCUGGGCUGACACUGACGCUGAGGCGCGAAAGCUAGGGUAGCAAACGGGAUUAGAUACCCCGGUAGUCCUAGCCCUAAACGAUGAAUACUUGGUGUCUGGAGUUUUAAUUCUCCGGGUGCCGUCGCUAACGUUUUUAGUAUCCGC
rnacentral:rRNA from 1 species